GGUUCGAUGAUUUUUGCAGUGGAUUCGGUAAUGGUUUGUUGAUGAAGAUCGAAGCGUGAAUUGAAUGGUUGAAGUUUGUUACUGGUUUUUUGCGUGUUGAUUUCUGAUUCUUUACAGGUUUUCUGUUAUGUAUCGUGAGAGAGAAAUUGAAGAUGAUGAUUGGAGGUAGAAGUGGAAGGUCCGAAAGUUGAAGAGUGUUGAAGAGAGAAUUGAUGGAUCCUGUUAUGGUUCAGUUACAGGCGCGAGUCUGAAUGUAAAGUGGAUGUGUGAACGCCAAUCUAUGAUAACUUGACCGUCAUGCUGCACUCGGAAUUAGAAUGGACCGAAUGGCUUUGUGCUAUGGUGCUGAACAUUUUAUUUGACUGUAUGCUAAACUGAUGAUAUGAUUAUUUUGUAGUACAGUAAUGUGUUGUAUGGUAAGUGUCUGAACUGUUGUGGUCUGAUUGUAUUUUCUCUGGUUUUUGUAGGUUCAGUUCUCAUGAGGUUGAAUGCUGAACUGGUUUUAUUCUAGAGCUGCGGGGUGUUUGGGCAUGGAUUGUAAUUUGAUGGGGCCAUAUGUCGCAGAGUGAUAUGUAUGUGUGUAUGCUGCAGGGGUGACCUCAAACAAAUGUAUGAUGGAGCAAGGGCUGCGGUUGAUACUCGGUGAAGUUGGGCUGAAUGUUUAACUUGGAGUAUUGCACUGCAUUUGCAAUGUACAGGUAGCCCGUGUAGGUAUACGAUGGCAAGGGGACAUAUUAUGAAGGCGCUCGUUGGCGGAGAUGAAUCACCAUAAUGAGGGAAUCUGAAUUCUCACGAUUGGAGGAUGGCCAAAAGGAAAUGAGGAUAGGAUGGAGCAUGGUAACCUGACAUUGCAAAUUGGAUGGAGCAUGGGCAUGAGGAGCAAAGGUGAUGGGAAGUGAUGUAGUUGAAGACUUAGAGACAGUAGGCUUUUAGGACAUUUGUUGGCUUUGAAUGUAAAUUUUUGUAGUUUC